rnacentral:rRNA from 1 species
GAUGAACGCUGGCGGCGUGCCUAAUACAUGCAAGUCGAGCGAACGGACGAGAAGCUUGCUUUUCUGAUGUUAGCGGCGGACGGGUGAGUAACACGUGGAUAACCUACCUAUAAGACUGGGAUAACUUCGGGAAACCGGAGCAAAUACCGGAUAAUAUUUUGAACCGCAUGGUUCAAAAGUGAAAGACGGUCUUGCUGUAACUAAUAGCUGGAUCCGCGCUGCAUUAGCUAGUUGGUAAGGUAACGGCUUACCAAGGCAACGAUGCAUAGCCGACCUGAGGGGGUGAUCGGCCACACUGGAACUGAGACACGGUCCAGACUCCUACGGGAGGCAGCAGUAGUGAAUCUUCCGCAAUGGGCGAAAGCCUGACGGAGCAACGCCGCGUGAGUGAUGAAGGUCUUCGGAUCGUAAAACUCUGUUAUUAGGGAAGAACAUAUGUGUAAGUAACUGUGCGCAUCUUGACGGUACCUAAUCAGAAAGCCACGGCUAACUACGUG